GACGAACGUUGGCGGCGUGCUUAAUACAUGCAAGUCAACUGAAGCAGUGGUAGCAAUAUCGCUGUGGAGGUGGCGCACGGGUGAGUAACACGUAGGUAAUCUGCCUUCAGGUCUGGCAUAACUCCGGGAAGCCGGGGCUAAUAGCAGAUGAUGCAGCGGCUCGACAUCGAGACAGUUGUUAAAGCUAUGGCGCCUGAAGAUGAGCCUGCGUCUGAUUAGCUAGUUGGCGGGGUAACGGCCCACCAAGGCAACGAUCAGUAGCUGGUCUGAGAGGAUGAUCAGCCACACUGGAACUGAGACACGGUCCAGACUCCUACGGGAGGCAGCAGUAAGGAAUAUUGCUCAAUGGGAGAAAUCCUGAAGCAGCAACGCCGCGUGGGGGACGAAGGGCUUUUGCUUGUAAACCUCUGUAGUGAGAGAAAAAAAUCCCAAUCUUUGGGACAUGAUGGUAUCUCAAAAGUAAGCCCCGGCUAACUACGUG
rnacentral:rRNA from 1 species